ACAUCUUUGCUGUUGUUGGAAGAAGACCACCUUUGAACAUUGCUUUUAUUAGUCUUGCCAAAUUUAUGGCUGUUCCAAAAGGCAUCCUUACUGCUUAUCGAAAAGACCAUUUGAUUGGGCAACAAAGAUGGGGAAUUAUUUUUUAGUAAACUGUCUUUUGGUUAUUCACUGCAAAAAUAACAUUCUUCAUCUUUCUCUCACUCCUGCGGCAACAAUACUGGUACAGAAAGGUACAGAAACUGCGUUGAUUUUACAUCAGACACCAAAAGGUAAACAUGUCUGCUAGUAAAAAACGGAAAAUUGAUGAUGAGAAAAGAAUAUUCAACAAGGAUUGGAGCAACAAAUAUUUCGUUGUUCAGAACAACCAGGGAGCUGUAUGUGUAAUCUGCCAAACUACAAUAGCUAUUAUGAAGGAAUAUAACAUUAAACGACAUUAUACAACAACACAUGCAAAAAUAUAUGAUGCAGUACAAGGUCAAGAUCGUGAAAACAAGUUAGAAGAGAUGAUCAAGUCACUUACAAAGCAACAAGCAGUAUUAACUGGUUAUAAGAAAGACUCUGAACUUAUAACAAAGCUUAGCUUUAAAAUCUGUGAAUCACUGGCAGAAAAUGGGAAAUCUUUCAGUGGCGGAGAAUUUGUAAAAAGUUGCUUGGAUAUGUUUGCUGAUUUUGUAUGUCCCGAAAAGAAGUGUUUAUUACAGCAAACUAGUCUCUCUCGAUUUACUGUAUCUCGCAGGAUCGAUGAGCUUGCAGAGAAUAAACAAGUCAGCUCACAAAUAAACACCUGACCAGUCAGCUUCGAGUUGUCAGUACAUCAGUGAGAGCAGACAUUGAUAAAAUGUGCAAAUACAAACAGUAUCAAGUAUACCAUUGAUUAUUAAACAGUAUCAGACAUUUUUAUGGUGACUGGCCCUCCUGUUGUUCAAAUGAUUGAAAAUGGCCCUCCAGUGAAAAAGGUUGCACACCCCUGAUGUAAUAGAAAACUAACAUGCAAUAUUUUCAUGGGAAUUGUUGAUCAGUCAAAUACGGUGAGACAAUAACAAACAGGUAAAUUUAGAUUACAAAAUCUACAGUGAAAUAAGACAAUAACUUAAAAUUAAUGUAAGCGUAAUGUUAUGAUUAACUGGAAAGCGAAUCAACUUUUAUCAAAUUUUACCUGAACAAUUUGUGGAAACGACAAGAAAUAGACAGGCAACUACCCAAUAAUUCCUGAGAAGCUUCAUCGUGUCUUCGAGGACAUUAAUAGUCGUUCAACAACAUUCUGAUGCCUUAAAAUGAUAAACAACACAUAAUGACAGCGACAUGCACGUUGUUUAAAUGGCGCUAACAUCGUAUUGCAAUUGUCUUAUUUUACCUGUUGAAGCAGGUGGAACACUAGUUUUAAAAAGACAAAACGCACAAAAUUAUCGUGAGAAUGCAAUAUUUUUUUUUGAUCGCUUCAACUACUUUGAAUACAGUCAAAUGUGAAAUAUUAAGUCCUUAAUAAACGAGCUCAAGGUCUUUACGGAGAUA